rnacentral:rRNA from 1 species
AUUAGAUACCCUGGUAGUCCACACGGUAAACGAUGAAUACUCGCUGUUUGUGAUAUACUGCAAGCGGCCAAGCGAAAGCGUUAAGUAUUCCACCUGGGGAGUACGCCGGCAACGGUGAAACUCAAAGGAAUUGACGGGGGCCCGCACAAGCGGAGGAACAUGUGGUUUAAUUCGAUGAUACGCGAGGAACCUUACCCGGGCUUGAAUUGCAGAUGACGGAUCCAGAGAUGGUGACUUCCUUCGGGGCAUCUGUGAAGGUGCUGCAUGGUUGUCGUCAGCUCGUGCCGUGAGGUGUCGGCUUAAGUGCCAUAACGAGCGCAACCCCUUUCGUCAGUUGCCAUCGGGUAAUGCCGGGCACUCUGGCGACACUGCCGCCGCAAGGUGUGAGGAAGGUGGGGAUGACGUCAAAUCAGCACGGCCCUUACGUCCGGGGCUACACACGUGUUACAAUGGGGCAUACAGAGAGUUGGUCAUGCGCAAGCAUGAUCGGAUCAUGAAAGUGUCCCUCAGUUCGGACUGGGGUCUGCAACCCGACUCCGUGAAGCUGGAUUCGCUAGUAAUCGCGCAUCAGCCAUGGCGCGGUGAAUACGUUCCCGGGCCUUGUACACACCGCCCGUCAAGCCAUGGGAGCCGGGGGCGCCUGAAGUCCGUGACCGCGAGGGUCGGCCUAGGGUGAAACCGGUGAUUGGGGCUAAGUCGUAACAAGGUAAC